rnacentral:rRNA from 1 species
GCACAAGCAGUGAGUAUGUGGUUUAAUUCGAAGCAACGCGAAGAACCUUACCAGGCCUGACAUCCCGAUGCUAUUUCUAGAGAUAGAAAGUUACUUCGGUACAUCGGUGACAGGUGGUGCAUGGUUGUCGUCAGCUCGUGUCGUGAGAUGUUGGGUUAAGUCCCGCAACGAGCGCAACCCCUAUUGUUAGUUGCCAUCAUUCAGUUGGGCACUCUAGCGAGACUGCCGGUAAUAAACCGGAGGAAGGUGGGGAUGACGUCAAAUCAUCAUGCCCCUUAUGACCUGGGCUACACACGUGCUACAAUGGUUGGUACAACGAGUUGCGAGUCGGUGACGGCGAGCUAAUCUCUUAAAGCCAAUCUCAGUUCGGAUUGUAGGCUGCAACUCGCCUACAUGAAGUCGGAAUCGCUAGUAAUCGCGGAUCAGCACGCCGCGGUGAAUACGUUCCCGGGCCUU